rnacentral:rRNA from 1 species
CCUACGGGCGGCAGCAGUAGGGAAUCUUUCACAAUGGGCGAAAGCCUGAUGGAGCAACGCCGCGUGCAGGAUGAAGGCCUUCGGGUUGUAAACUGCUUUUAUAAGCGAGAAAUAUGAUGGUAACUUAUGAAUAAGGAUCGGCUAACUACGUGCCAGCAGCCGCGGUCAUACGUAGGAUCCGAGCAUUAUCCGGAGUGACUGGGUGUAAAGAGUUGCGUAGGUGGCAUAAUAAGUAGCUAGUGAAAUCUGGUGGCUCAACCAUUCAGACUAUUAGCUAAACUGUUAAGCUCGAGACCGUUAGGGGUAAGUGGAAUUUGUAGUGUAGGAGUGAAAUCCGUAGAUAUUAGAAGGAACACCAAUAGCGUAGGCAGGUUGCUGGGACGGUUCUGACACUAAGGCACGAAAGCGUAGGGAGCAAACGGGAUUAGAUACCCUUGUAGUC